rnacentral:rRNA from 1 species
GACGAACGCUGGCGGCGUGCUUAACACAUGCAAGUCGAACGGAAAGGCCCUGCUUUUGUGGGGUGCUCGAGUGGCGAACGGGUGAGUAACACGUGAGUAACCUGCCCUUGACUUUGGGAUAACUUCAGGAAACUGGGGCUAAUACCUGAUAGGAGCUCCUGCUGCAUGGUGGGGGUGGGAAAGUUUCGGCGGUUGGGGAUGGACUCGCGGCUUAUCAGCUUGUUGGUGGGGUAGUGGCUUACCAAGGCUUUGACGGGUAGCCGGCCUGAGAGGGUGACCGGCCACAUUGGGACUGAGAUGCGGCCCAGACUCCUACGGGAGGCAGCAGUGGGGAAUAUUGCACAAUGGGCGGAAGCCUGAUGCAGCAACGCCGCGUGCGGGAUGACGGCCUUCGGGUUGUAAACCGCUUUCGCCUGUGACGAAGCGUGAGUGACGGUAAUGGGUAAAGAAGCACCGGCUAACUACGUG